rnacentral:rRNA from 1 species
AGUGCCUAACACAUGCAAGUCGAGCGAUUCUCUUUGCCUUAGAGCGGCGGACGGGUGAGUAACGCGUGGGUAACCUGCCCUGUACACACGGAUAACAUACCGAAAGGUAUGCUAAUACGAGAUAAUAUGCUUUUAUCGCAUGGUAGAAGUAUCAAAGCUCCGGCGGUACAGGAUGGACCCGCGUCUGAUUAGCUAGUUGGUAAGGUAACGGCUUACCAAGGCGACGAUCAGUAGCCGACCUGAGAGGGUGAUCGGCCACAUUGGAACUGAGACACGGUCCAAACUCCUACGGGAGGCAGCAGUGGGGAAUAUUGCACAAUGGGCGAAAGCCUGAUGCAGCAACGCCGCGUGAGCGAUGAAGGCCUUCGGGUCGUAAAGCUCUGUCCUCAAGGAAGAUAAUGACGGUACUUGAGGAGGAAGCCCCGGCUAACUACGUGCCAGCAGCCGCGGUAAUACGUAGGGGGCUAGCGUUAUCCGGAAUUACUGGGCGUAAAGGGUGCGUAGGUGGUUUCUUAAGUCAGAGGUGAAAGGCUACGGCUCAACCGUAGUAAGCCUUUGAAACUGGGAAACUUGAGUGCAGGAGAGGAGAGUGGAAUUCCUAGUGUAGCGGUGAAAUGCGUAGAUAUUAGGAGGAACACCAGUUGCGAAGGCGGCUC